rnacentral:rRNA from 1 species
CGUAGGGUGCGAGCGUUAAUCGGAAUUACUGGGCGUAAAGCGUGCGCAGGCGGUUAUAUAAGACAGAUGUGAAAUCCCGGGCUCAACCUGGGAACUGCAUUUGUGACUGUAUAGCUAGAGUACGGCAGAGGGGGAUGGAAUUCCGCGUGUAGCAGUGAAAUGCGUAGAUAUGCGGAGGAACACCGAUGGCGAAGGCAAUCCCCUGGGCCUGUACUGACGCUCAUGCACGAAAGCGUGGGGAGCAAACAGGAUUAGAUACCCUGGUAGUCCACGCCCUAAACGAUGUCAACUGGUUGUUGGGUCUUCACUGACUCAGUAACGAAGCUAACGCGUGAAGUUGACCGCCUGGGGAGUACGGCCGCAAGGUUG